rnacentral:rRNA from 1 species
CCUACGGGACGCAGCAGUGGGGAAUAUUGCACAAUGGGCGCAAGCCUGAUGCAGCCAUGCCGCGUGUGUGAAGAAGGCCUUCGGGUUGUAAAGCACUUUCAGCGGGGAGGAAGGCGGUGAGGUUAAUAACCUCAUCGAUUGACGUUACCCGCAGAAGAAGCACCGGCUGACUCCGUGCCAGCAGCCGCGGUAAUACGGAGGGUGCAAGCGUUAAUCGGAAUUACUGGGCGUAAAGCGCACGCAGGCGGUCUGUCAAGUCGGAUGUGAAAUCCCCGGGCUCAACCUGGGAUCUGCAUUCGAAACUGGCAGGCUAGAGUCUUGUAGAGGGGGGUAGAAUUCCAGGUGUAGCGGUGAAAUUCGUAGAUAUUCGGAGGAACACCAGUGGCGAAGGCGGCUUACUGGUCUGCAACUGACGCUGAGGCGCGAAAGCGUGGGGAGCAAACAGGAUUAGAUACCCGUGUAGUC